rnacentral:tRNA from 1 species
UGGUAAUUAGUUUAACUAAAAUUAAUGAUUUCGACUCAUUAGACUAUGACAAAUGUCAUAAUUACCAA